rnacentral:rRNA from 1 species
AUUGAACGCUGGCGGCAGGCCUAACACAUGCAAGUCGAACGGCAGCACAGAAGAGCUUGCUCUUUGGGUGGCGAGUGGCGGACGGGUGAGUAAUGUCUGGGAAACUGCCCGAUGGAGGGGGAUAACUACUGGAAACGGUAGCUAAUACCGCAUAACGUCGCAAGACCAAAGUGGGGGACCUUCGGGCCUCACACCAUCGGAUUGCCCCGAAUGGGAUUGGCUAGUAGGUGGGGUAAUGGCUCACCUAGGCGACGAUCCCUAGCUGGUCUGAGGGGAUGACCAGCCACACUGGAACUGAGACACGGUCCAGACUCCUACGGGAGGCAGCAGUGGGGAAUAUUGCACAAUGGGCGCAAGCCUGAUGCAGCCAUGCCGCGUGUAUGAAGAAGGCCUUCGGGUUGUAAAGUACUUUCAGCGGGGAGGAAGGCGGUGAGGUUAAUAACCUCGCCGAUUGACGUUACCCGCAGAAGAAGCACCGGCUAACUCCGUGCCAGCAGCCGCGGUAA